rnacentral:rRNA from 1 species
AAAUUGAAGAGUUUGAUCAUGGCUCAGAUUGAACGCUGGCGGCAGGCCUAACACAUGCAAGUCGAACGGUAACAGGAAGCAGCUUGCUGCUUUGCUGACGAGUGGCGGACGGGUGAGUAAUGUCUGGGAAACUGCCCGAUGGAGGGGGAUAACUACUGGAAACGGUAGCUAAUACCGCAUAACGUCGCAAGACCAAAGAGGGGGACCUUCGGGCCUCUUGCCAUCGGAUGUGCCCAGAUGGGAUUAGCUAGUAGGUGGGGUAAAGGCUCACCUAGGCGACGAUCCCUAGCUGGUCUGAGAGGAUGACCAGCCACACUGGAACUGAGACACGGUCCAGACUCCUACGGGAGGCAGCAGUGGGGAAUAUUGCACAAUGGGCGCAAGCCUGAUGCAGCCAUGCCGCGUGUAUGAAGAAGGCCUUCGGGUUGUAAAGUACUUUCAGCGGGGAGGAAGGGAGUAAAGUUAAUACCUUUGCUCAUUGACGUUACCCGCAGAAGAAGCACCGGCUAACUCCGUGCCAGCAGCCGCGGUAAUACGGAGGGUGCAAGCGUUAAUCGGAAUUACUGGGCGUAAAGCGCACGCAGGCGGUUUGUUAAGUCAGAUGUGAAAUCCCCGGGCUCAACCUGGGAACUGCAUCUGAUACUGGCAAGCUUGAGUCUCGUAGAGGGGGGUAGAAUUCCAGGUGUAGCGGUGAAAUGCGUAGAGAUCUGGAGGAAUACCGGUGGCGAAGGCGGCCCCCUGGACGAAGACUGACGCUCAGGUGCGAAAGCGUGGGGAGCAAACAGGAUUAGAUACCCUGGUAGUCCACGCCGUAAACGAUGUCGACUUGGAGGUUGUGCCCUUGAGGCGUGGCUUCCGGAGCUAACGCGUUAAGUCGACCGCCUGGGGAGUACGGCCGCAAGGUUAAAACUCAAAUGAAUUGACGGGGGCCCGCACAAGCGGUGGAGCAUGUGGUUUAAUUCGAUGCAACGCGAAGAACCUUACCUGGUCUUGACAUCCACGGAAGUUUUCAGAGAUGAGAAUGUGCCUUCGGGAACCGUGAGACAGGUGCUGCAUGGCUGUCGUCAGCUCGUGUUGUGAAAUGUUGGGUUAAGUCCCGCAACGAGCGCAACCCUUAUCCUUUGUUGCCAGCGGUCCGGCCGGGAACUCAAAGGAGACUGCCAGUGAUAAACUGGAGGAAGGUGGGGAUGACGUCAAGUCAUCAUGGCCCUUACGACCAGGGCUACACACGUGCUACAAUGGCGCAUACAAAGAGAAGCGACCUCGCGAGAGCAAGCGGACCUCAUAAAGUGCGUCGUAGUCCGGAUUGGAGUCUGCAACUUCCACUCAAUGAAGUCGCAAGCCAUAGUAACACUGGCAGCAAAAUCCCACGGUGAAGACCUUCAGAGGCCUUUUUGCAGUGCUCACACAGAUUGUCUGAUAGAAAGUGAAAAGCAAGGCGUCUUGCGAAGCAGACUGAUACGUCCCCUUCGUCUAGAGGCCCAGGACACCGCCCUUUCACGGCGGUAACAGGGGUUCGAAUCCCCUAGGGGACGCCACUUGCU